rnacentral:lncRNA from 1 species
CUCAUUCGCAGUGGUUAUAUUCUACAAAGAUGCUGCAAACGCUGAAUUAAUGAAUACUGAAACUUUUUUGCCAGGAGUUAUAUGGGGUUAGGUUUCUGUAAGCCGCUGGUCACGACAUUUUCAUCAGCUGGUCAACGCAUACCUUGUUUUAUGGGUGUUUCUGUUUAAAGACAUUUUGUUUAAUAUAUGCUGUUGACUCGUUAACAUUGAACUCAAGGCCGACAGCACUAUAACUCUUGCCUGAAGAAAACUUAUCUAGCACACGUAUUUUUUCCAUAAGGCAUAUCGGAGCCUUCUUGUGCUUGAGAACACUAGACGGCACUUCAACACCACACGUGGCGGCCAUUUCAAACAGUGACGUCACCAGCAAACAGCCCAGAAAUGCGAAAAAUGUGGCGCCAAAUAGACGCUCGUUUACAGCGCUAGAGCUGAAACAAGAAGGUGGAGAGCAUCGCCUCGUUCAGCCUCAGCUGGGAACGCACACGUGUCAGGAGGCUCAAAUUUUCGCCACCCCUUGUAUGUGCACAAACAGUGAAAGUGCUAUAUUCAACAGCUGAAAGAAUUCACCACCAGCAGACCCAAGAAAUUUUAAAAGAAGUCCUUCAGGCAGAAGCAAGAAUCUAUCAGAUGAAAAUAUGGAUCUAUGCAAAGGAAGAGAGAGCACGGCAAAUGAGUCUUCAAGUAGGUUUUUUUUUUCAAUUCCAUUCAGAGCCAUUAGUUGUCAUCUGUGGGAAAUAAAGGCUGUACCGGACUUGAUCCAUCCGGACCAGCGCCAGAAGUCACAAGGUCUCGAAAUCUCAACUGUCUCCUGGACUGUCAGCCAUUUGCUCUGCCUCACUCGCCACCUCAGCCAAAGGACUGCAUGCAGGUCCUUGUGGUCCUGCUGCCUGAGGCUGGC